UGAGGCGGAGCAAACACAAAACACAGUCUCAGUUCAGAUUGUAGGCUGAAACUCGCCUAUAUGAAGUCGGAAUUGCUAGUAAUCGCGGAUCAGCAUGCCGCGGUGAAUACGUUCCCGGGCCUUGUACACACCGCCCGUCACACCAUGAGAGUCGAUAACACCCGAAGCCUGUAGUCUAACAGCAAUGAGGACGCAGUCGAAGGUGGGAUUGAUAAUUAGGGUGAAGUCGUAACAAGGUAAC
rnacentral:rRNA from 1 species